GACAGAGGGUGCAAACGUUGUUCGGAAUUACUGGGCGUAAAGCGCGUGUAGGCUGCUCGGAAAGUCGGGUGUGAAAGCCCUGGGCUCAACCUAGGAAGUGCACUCGAAACUUCCGAGCUGGAGUGCUGGAGAGGAAGGCGGAAUUCUCGGUGUAGAGGUGAAAUUCGUAGAUAUCGAGAGGAACACCGGUGGCGAAGGCGGCCUUCUGGGCAGCCACUGACGCUGAGACGCGAAAGCGUGGGGAGCAAACAGG
rnacentral:rRNA from 1 species